CGGGUGUUUGUUAUGAGCCGAGUCGAUUUUCUUCCACCCGCGGCGUGUUUUCGUGUGAGGUCACUUCAAAUCCUGUGCUUUUUGUUUCUCGCGCCGGGAAAAUGAGCAGCUCUCCAAGUACGGUGAUACAAAAUAUGCAAGAGCAAUAAUGCUUGUUGACCUGAAGAAGCUGAUUGAAGCUAACCCCUUAUUCUGUGACAAGCUUCAGUUUCCCAACCUGAAGAAUUCCAGAUUGCGUACACUUAUCAACCAGAGGGCGUUUUUCUGUGUUUGGAGGUGCAACACUUUUCCAGUAUAUUUUCCCUCAAUCAGUGUAUUGCUUCAUUGUCAUUUUCAGCGUGUAAUAUGGACACGAGGGUCCUUCUCACUU